AUUGAACGCUGGCGGCAGGCCUAACACAUGCAAGUCGAGCGGAGCGGCGGACGGGGGAGUAAUGCCUAGGAAUCUGCCUGGGAGUGGGGGAGAACGUCCGGAAACGGGCGCUAAUACCGCAUACUAUCAGAUUAGCCUAGGUCGGGUUAGGGAGUUGGUGGGGGAAAGGCCCACCAAGGCGACGAUCCGGAACUGGUCUGAGAGGAUGAUCAGUCACACUGGAACUGAGACACGGUCCAGACUCCUACGGGAGGCAGCAGUGGGGAAUAUUGGACAAUGGGCGCAAGCCUGAUCCAGCCAUGCCGCGUGUGUGAAGAAGGUCUUCGGAUUGUAAAGCACUUUAAGUUGGGAGGCGUUACCAACAGAAUAAGCACCGGCUAACUUCGUGCCAGCAGCCGCGGUAAUAC
rnacentral:rRNA from 1 species